AUUCGAACGGCGUAGCGGGAUGCUUUACACAUGCAAGUCGAACGGCGAGCGCAAGAAAAGCUUGCUUUUCUUGGCGGCGAGUGGCGAACGGGUGAGUAAUAUAUCGGAACGUGCCCAGUAGCGGGGGAUAACUACGCGAAAGCGUGGCUAAUACCGCAUACGCCCUACGGGGAAAGGGGGGAGUCGCAAGACCUCUCACUAUUGGAGCGGCCGAUAUCGGAUUAGCUAGUUGGUGGGGUAAAGGCUCACCAAGGCAGCGAUCCGUAGUUGGUUUGAGAGGACGACCAGCCACACUGGGACUGAGACACGGCCCAG
rnacentral:rRNA from 1 species